UACGUAGGGGGCUAGCGUUGUCCGGAUUUAUUGGGCGUAAAGAGCGUGUAGGCGCCAGACAGGUCCGUUGUGAAAACUCGAGGCUCAACCUCGAGACGCCGAUGGAAACCGUCUGGCUAGAGUCCGGAAGAGGAGAGUGGAAUUCCCGGUGUAGCGGUGAAAUGCGCAGAUAUCGGGAAGAACACCCGUGGCUAAGGCGGCUCUCUAGUACGGUACUGACGCUGAGACGCGAAAGCGUGGGGAGCGAACAGG
rnacentral:rRNA from 1 species